UUUGUAGAAGACGUUAGCAAGUUUUUUCAAAUUCUAAUGGAAGAUAUAACGUGGCAGUUAUUUUAAAUGAAAAACAACCAGAUAAGUAGCUCUUAUUAAUUAAUUUUAUAUUUCAUAGGUGGGACUGCCAUUUUCAUUAUGUAAUGUAAUUUUUAAGUUAAUUUAACAAUUUUGGAACCACACUCGUUUCAAUUUCACUUCUGUAUAAAAUGUGACAUUAUUAAGAGAUUGUACCGCCAGUGAAUUUUUUUUUAAUUUUUCAUAUCAUUAUUUUUCAUAACUACUCUUUCACAGUGAGUUAGGACGGCCAAAUGAUACUUGUCAUGUCAUUUAAUUUUUGGACUGCGCAAUUCAUAAUGUAAAUUUGUAAAUCAUUUAGGAAAAUUCUCUACACUAACAAUGGUAUCCAUGACGCACCCUGGCAAUGGUAUCAAUGAAACAUACAUGAAGGAUUUAUUUGCAAAACAAAAAAUAACAAAAAAUGGAAGGUCAAAUUGAAGGUCAAAUUGAUUGCCAACUUGUCGCGCUUUAUGGUAAAUUCAUCGAGCACCGUAUUAAACAUCCCGGGUCAACGGGGUACAGAUCGUUUGGCCGGUGGCUCAAGCAAGGUGGUGUGGAAUGGACGGAGGGGGAAGAUGCCACGGAAACAUCGCCAGACGUGGAAUUAAGUAAGAUAUCAAUUUUCAAAUGUUCAAAGUUCGUGUUACGUAAUUAAACUAUGGUAUAUAUACUUCAGUUUUAUCUAUGAAAUUUAUUGAAUUAACCUUUCCUUUAUUUUUCCUUUAGUGAAUGUCUGGACUCGAUUUCUAAGGUACAGAUUGACCCACAGUGGUUCAAUGGAGGCUGAGGUGUUUGGACGUUGGGUCCAUAAUGGCGGAAGAGAAUUCCGAAAAAGCAAGGGUGAAGGAAGCAGUCGUGGUGGCCGACGCGGUCGUGGAGGUCAACGUGGUCGGGGGGGUCGUAUCAGACCUUACUAAUGUUUUUUUGUUUUUUUUUAAUUUCGUCUGUUAACCUUUAGUAGAAUGACGUAAGAUCUCAACAAGAACAAGUCCUUUUGAUUUAGAAUUUCGUACUCCAUAAGUCAGUGACAAAAGUAAUUUUUGAGUAACUAAACGGUCUAAUAUGUAAAAUAUACGCGGAUAUUCACUACAAAUGGUAUUUGGGUAAAAUGGUCAUCAUUUCCGGUCCACAAAAUACAAACGAGAGAUUGUGAUGUGAUAUUCACAAUAAAGAUAGUUAAAAUUGUUAUGAGUUGUCUACAAAGUUUCAUCGUGCAAUCAUUUGUAGCAUUGAUUUUUUAAGGUCCCGUAAAUCCUAUAAUUCCUGUUUCUUCGUCAAUUACGUUUUAUAGCAAGUGCUUCAGUUAACAUCCGCCUGAGACACAGACUUCGAAGUUGCUCUCCUCUCGUUCUACUGAAGGUUAACCCUUCUAAUUAUUUAUUACUUUAUUUUAUUAGUAUGAAUUAAAG